UACGAAGGGGGCUAGCGUUGCUCGGAAUCACUGGGCGUAAAGCGCACGUAGGCGGCUUUCUAAGUCAGGGGUGAAAUCCUGGAGCUCAACUCCAGAACUGCCUUUGAUACUGGGAAGCUCGAGUCCGGGAGAGGUGAGUGGAACUCCGAAUGUAGAGGUGAAAUUCGUAGAUAUUCGGAAGAACACCAGUGGCGAAGGCGGCUCACUGGCCCGGUACUGACGCUGAGGUGCGAAAGCGUGGGGAGCAAACAGG
rnacentral:rRNA from 1 species